ensembl:rRNA 5S_rRNA 5S ribosomal RNA
UCUACAAGCCAUACCACCCUGAACACGCCCAGUAUCGUCUGAUCUCGGAAGCUAUACAGGGUCGGGCCUGGUUAGUACUUGGAUGGAAAACUCAAAAGACUCCACAGCUGAUGGAA